rnacentral:rRNA from 1 species
GAUGAACGCUGGCGGCGUGCCUAAUACAUGCAAGUCGAGCGAGCAGACGAGGAGCUUGCUCCUCUGACGUUAGCGGCGGACGGGUGAGUAACACGUGGAUAACCUACCUAUAAGACUGGGAUAACCUCGGGAAACCGGAGCUAAUACCGGAUAACAUGUUGAACCGCAUGGUUCAACAGUGAAAGACGGUCUUACUGUCACUUAUAGAUGGAUCCGCGCCGCAUUAGCUAGUUGGUAAGGUAACGGCUUACCAAGGCAACGAUGCGUAGCCGACCUGAGAGGGUGAUCGGCCACACUGGAACUGAGACACGGUCCAGACUCCUACGGGAGGCAGCAGUAGGGAAUCUUCCGCAAUGGGCGAAAGCCUGACGGAGCAACGCCGCGUGAGUGAAGAAGGUCUUCGGAUCGUAAAACUCUGUUAUUAGGGAAGAACAAAUGUGUAAGUAACUAUGCACGUCUUGACGGUACCUAAUCAGAAAGCCACGGCUAACUACGUG